CCUACGGGAGGCAGCAGUGAGGAAUAUUGGUCAAUGGACGCAAGUCUGAACCAGCCAUGCCGCGUGCAGGAUGACGGCUCUAUGAGUUGUAAACUGCUUUUGUACGAGGGUAAACCCCGAUACGUGUAUCGGGUUGAAAGUAUCGUACGAAUACGGAUCGGCUAACUCCGUGCCAGCCGCCGCGGUAAUACGGAGGAUCCGAGCGUUAUCCGGAUUUAUUGGGUUUAAAGGGUGCGUAGGCGGUUUGAUAAGUUAGAGGUGAAAGGUCGGGGCUCAACCCCGAAACUGCCUCUAAUACUGUUGGACUAGAGAAUAGUUGCGGUAGGCGGAAUGUAUGGUGUAGCGGUGAAAUGCUUAGAGAUCAUACAGAACACCGAUUGCGAAGGCAGCUUACCAAGCUAUAACUGACGUUGAGGCACGAAAGCGUGGGUAGCAAACAGGAUUAGAUACCCCAGUAGUC
rnacentral:rRNA from 1 species